AAAGAAACCAACAGGGAUUGCCCUAGUAACGGCGAGUGAAGCGGCAACAGCUCAAAUUUGAAAUCUGGCCCUCGGGUCCGAGUUGUAAUUUGUAGAGGAUGCUUUUGGUGAGGUGCCUUCCGAGUUCCCUGGAACGGGACGCCAUAGAGGGUGAGAGCCCCGUCUGGUUGGACACCGAGCCUCUGUAAAGCUCCUUCGACGAGUCGAGUAGUUUGGGAAUGCUGCUCUAAAUGGGAGGUAUAUGUCUUCUAAAGCUAAAUACCGGCCAGAGACCGAUAGCGCACAAGUAGAGUGAUCGAAAGAUGAAAAGCACUUUGAAAAGAGAGUUAAAAAGUACGUGAAAUUGUUGAAAGGGAAGCGCUUAUGACCAGACUUGGGCUUGGUUGAUCAUCCUGGGUUCUCCCUGGUGCACUCUUCCAGUUCAGGCCAGCAUCAGUUCGCUGCGGGGGAUAAAAGUUUUGGGAAUGUGGCUCCUCCGGGAGUGUUAUAGCCCAUUUCAUAAUACCCUGCUCCGGACUGAGGUUCGCGCAUCUGCAAGGAUGCUGGCGUAAUGGUCAUCAGCGACCCGUCUUGAAACACGGACCAAGGAGUCGUCUUCGUAUGCGAGUGUUCGGGUGUUAAACCCCUACGCGUAAUGAAAGUGAACGCAGGUGAGAGCUUCGGCGCAUCAUCGACCGAUCCUGAUGUUCUCGGAUGGAUUUGAGUAAGAGCAUACGGGGCCGGACCCGAAAGAAGGUGAACUAUGCCUGUAUAGGGUGAAGCCAGAGGAAACUCUGGUGGAGGCUCGCAGCGGUUCUGACGUGCAAAUCGAUCGUCAAAUAUGGGCAUGGGGCGAAAGACUAAUCGAAUCUUCUAGUAGCUGGUUUCCGCCGAAGUUUCCCUCAGGA
rnacentral:rRNA from 1 species